UAGAAAAGAACAAAGAUUUUUAGUAUACAAAAAAUGCUAAAUAUUGUCAAAAGUAAAGUUAUAUUUCUUUUUAAUUAAAAAUAAAAAAAUUAAAACCAAUAACUUAUAAACUUUGCACAAAAUGCGCGAUGAAAAUUCGAGAUACGUAUAUUAAUAAAUAGCGCAAAAAUGUGUAAAUAAUCUACGAUGUAUAGAACGCUGUAAACAUUCUAAACACUGUAAAAAAGCGAUUAUUAUGUUAUCAGUGAUCUUACAGCUUUGAUGAAUUUGUAAAUCAUAAAUUUUGUAGAAUAGAAGAUUUACGACAUCAAAUAUAUGCUAAAACGUGCAAUACUAAGAAUUUUGGGGGGCAUUGUUAUUGUUUUAAUAAGCUUCAUUGUAAUUUAGCUCACUGUAUUGAAAGAUACAUAUGAUAGUGUGAAUAAAACAAAAUGAAGUGUUAAAGCAUGAUAUAUUGUUGAGUAAAAUUUGAAUAUUUUAAACUUAAAAGAUAAAAGAUGAUUUAAAUAAUAGUUAUUAUACAAUGUUAUAUUAUUACUAUCUAAAGUUAUUAAUAAUAAUUAUUAUUUAAACCAUAUAUUUUUCUAAUUUUUUAGCAAUAGAUUUAUAAAUUUUUUGUGAGAAAAGUGUUUACGUGUACUUAAAUUGCUCUGCGAUUUGCAAAUGUAAGAUAGUGGAAAUUCUUUUUACUUAUGCUGUUCACUUAUUUAUAAUGGAUAUUUCGCGUCCGUUUUACAUGUAUGCUUUAGAGUCUUUAGAAAAAGUUAAAAAUUAAAGUGAAGUUAACGUCUAAAGUUAAAGUUUAGACAUGUUUGAUUAUCUUUUGUUUUAAUUAAUAUGUCAUGUGUUAUACGUUUGCUUUAAUUAAUCGAAAACGCUUGCAUUAAAGAAUCUGUAAUUUUGCGAUGAUAUUAGUUAAAUUUAUUUAUGAUUUAAUUAUUAAUCGAAGAGAAGGAAAGGUUAAAAUUCAUAAAACAUUUUCUGAAAUGAGCGCAAAAAGAUUUUGUUAUUAAAUAUUUGGCGAAUUAUAGAAACUGUUGCCAUUUAACGAUGUCUCGAAUUUUGUCGAACAGCGUACGAUCGUAAGUCCAAAUUUUUCUAGGACACCAUGUAUAAAGGAUGUACGAACACGAACGAAGAGUCCUAUAAGGAGACUAGCAAUAUCAUGUAUAUUUAUAUUUUAUUUUAUCUAUUUUAGAUAUAAAAAUAGAGAUAUAUAUUUAUGUACCCAGCAAGCAAAAUGCUAGCAGCUUGCCGGCAAUAUGCCAGCAAACUCGAGCAUGAUAUCGCAGCAGAUUUCAAUCUGCUGCUUCCUCAUUAAGCUUAGUUUCUAACAGCAUAGAUUAUCAACAGAAAAUAUUGAUAGAAAUACAGCAAAAAUCGAAUAUCAUCUGCUACCAUAACAUGACAGCAAAUUCAUAUUCGUGCUCUCGGCAGGUUUGGCUAUCUGGGUAUAUACACUAUAACUUUUUUAUUACGUCUAUGAAAUUAUACAGCGUGAAGAGUGUAACAGGAUGCCGUAAAUAAAUGCAAAAUAAAAAUAUAUAAAAUCCAUGUC